UUUUGGAGCGGCCGAUGUCUGAUUAGCUAGUUGGUGAGGUAAAGGCUUACCAAGGCGUCGAUCAGUAGCUGGUCUGAGAGGACGACCAGCCACACUGGGACUGAGACACGGCCCAGACUCCUACGGGAGGCAGCAGUGGGGAAUUUUGGACAAUGGGGGAAACCCUGAUCCAGCCAUGCCGCGUGAGUGAAGAAGGCCUUCGGGUUGUAAAGCUCUUUCAGCCGGAACGAAACGGUCACGGCUAAUACCUGUGACUACUGACGGUACCGGAAGAAGAAGCACCGGCUAACUACGUGCCAGCAGCCGCGGUAAUACGUAGGGUGCGAGCGUUAAUCGGAAUUACUGGGCGUAAAGCGUGCGCAGGCGGUUUUGUAAGUCAGAUGUGAAAUCCCCGGGCUUAACCUGGGAACUGCGUUUGAAACUACAAAGCUAGA
rnacentral:rRNA from 1 species